rnacentral:rRNA from 3 species
CGGCGACCAUAUCGAAAAGGUCACACCUGUUCCCAUCCCGAACACAGUAGUUAAGCUUUUCGAGCCGAUGAUAGUGUAUACCAACGUGAAAGUAGGUAUCGCC